UGAGGCAGGAGAAUUGCUUGAACCCAGGAGGUGGAGGCUGCAGUGAGCCAAGAUUGAGCCACUGCACUCCAGCCUGGGUGACAGAGCGAGACCCCGUCUCA
ensembl:miRNA